GACGAACGCUGGCGGCGUGCUUAACACAUGCAAGUCGUACGGUAAGGCCCUUUCGGGGGUACACGAGUGGCGAACGGGUGAGUAACACGUGAGUAACCUGCCCACAACUUUGGGAUAACGCUAGGAAACUGGGGCUAAUACUGGAUAUGUGCUCCUGCUGCAUGGUGGGGGUUGGAAAGCUCCGGCGGUUGUGGAUGGACUCGCGGCCUAUCAGCUUGUUGGUGGGGUAAUGGCCUACCAAGGCGGCGACGGGUAGCCGGCCUGAGAGGGUGACCGGCCACAUUGGGACUGAGAUACGGCCCAGACUCCGACGGGAGGCAGCAGUGGGGAAUAUUGCACAAUGGGCGCAAGCCUGAUGCAGCAACGCCGCGUGCGGGAUGACGGCCUUCGGGUUGUAAACCGAUUUCAGCAGGGACGAAGCUUUUUGUGACGGUACCUGCAGAAGAAGCACCGGCUAACUACGUG
rnacentral:rRNA from 1 species